rnacentral:rRNA from 1 species
AUAUUGGACAAUGGUGGCAACCCUGAUCCAGCCUUGCCGCGUGUGUGAAGAAGGGCUUCGGCUUGUAAAGCACUUUAAGUUGGGUGGAAGGGCUUUAGGUUAAUACCAUGAAGUCUUGACGUUACAAAGCGAUUAAGCACCGGCUAACCCUGUGCCAGCAGCAGCGGUAAUCCAGAGGGUGCAAGCGUUAAUCGGAAUCACUGGACGUAAAGCGCGAGUAGGUGGUUCAGUAAGAUGGGUGUGAAAUCCCCGGGCUUAACCUGGGAACUGCUUUCAUAACUGCUGAGCUAGAGUACGGUAGAGGGUAGUGGAAUUUCCUGUGUAGCGGUGAAAUGCGUAGAUAUAGGAAGGAACACCAGUGGCGAAGGCGACUACCUGGACUGAUACUGACACUGAGGUGCGAAAGCGUGGGGAGCAAAC